rnacentral:rRNA from 1 species
CCUACGGGAGGCAGCAGUGAGGAAUAUUGGUCAAUGGGCGAGAGCCUGAACCAGCCAAGUCGCGUGAGGGAGUACUGCCCUAUGGGUUGUAAACCUCUUUUGUCGGGGAGCAAAAGCCGGACGUGUCCGGCUGUGAGAGUACCCGAAGAAAAAGCAUCGGCUAACUCCAUGCCAGCAGCCGCGGUAAUACGGAGGAUGCGAGCGUUAUCCGGAUUUAUUGGGUUUAAAGGGUGCGCAGGCGGAUUUUUAAGUCAGCGGUAAAAUCGUGGGGCUCAACCCCAUCCAGCCGUUGAAACUGGGGAUCUAGAGUGUGCGAGAGGUAUGCGGAAUGCGUGGUGUAGCGGUGAAAUGCAUAGAUAUCACGCAGAACCCCGAUUGCGAAGGCAGCAUACCGGUGCACAACUGACGCUCAGGCACGAAAGCGUGGGUAUCGAACAGGAUUAGAUACCCGAGUAGUC